rnacentral:lncRNA from 10 species
CCAGCCUUCCAUAGAGCUCAUUCAUCUUUGAAGCUACACCUGAAAAUUUCCUUCCUCUGAAGCAAGGCAGGACCUCCUGCUAUAUGUUCAGUAGCACCCUGGUCUUUUCCUUCAAAGAACCAUCAGAAUCAUGAUUGUCAUGACCGGAGGUAAACUGAACAUCUGAAAAGGACCUAAUUAACAUUGUGCGCAAGUGAAAGAAUAAAUGAAUAAAUGAAUAAAAGAAUGAAUGAGUACGGAUGCUGAGAACUGAGAUGUGGCAUUUCCAUACUGGCAGAAGCUCCGAAAGAAACAGUCAUCACUUCCUGUCCUACUGCACGCAAUGUGUUAGGCAGUGCUUUGCUGAAAUCCAGAAUAUAAAGUUAAACUUUAUGAGUUAAAAGUUUGAACUUUUGAGCGAGAUGUAAUUAAGCACAAAUUAGUUUGUAGAAUCCUAAAUGUCAGUGCAUCUAAACAAAGUACAUCUAUGUUUAUUUGAAAGCAAAAAACGAUGACACAUUUUUAGAGAAUUAAAAUAAACUGAUCAUUGAAAUUGAAUUAAUUUUUAAUGGUAAAAUUAAUUUGAGUGAAGUAGAAAGAAUGCGGCUCAUAAUGUUUUAUUGAUGAUGCAUAAAAAUGAUCACAAGUCAUUACUCAUUCACUUGAAAGCCAGCGUUCUUCCAGGAGAAUAAAUUUCUGUUGUUUUUGUUUGAUUGGAUUUGAUUUAUAAUUGUGUUCGAUUAGGUAAUAUAAGUAAGUAUAAGAAAUGUCAAAAGGUUAAUCCUCUCAUCCUCAUCCAUUGCUACUUUAUUUUUCCUCUAGAGGCUAUUAUAGUUUCUUUUGUAUCCUUUCAGAAAGCUGUAUAUCUAUACUAUGCCUAUAAAUCUACCUAUCUAAAACCUAACCAUACACGUAGGGUAUUUAUUACUAUAAAAGUCAGCAAGAGAUGGUGGAUAAAACCUACUUUUCCACAGCUAAUUAGAAGGAUAGCAUUAACUAGAAAUACCAUUUGACCCAGCAAUCCCAUUGCUGGGUAUAUACCCAAAGGAUUAUAAAUCAUGCUACUAUAAAGACAUGUGCACACGUAUGCUUAUUGUGGCACUGUUCACAAUAGCAAAGAC